CCCUUCACAAUGAUGAAAUAUUUCGGAUGUAAAAACAUUGUCAUGUCGGAAUGCGCAAACAUACCAUGUCGAGAUUUCCGUUGCCUUCCUUCUGAUUGGAAGA
rnacentral:snoRNA from 1 species